rnacentral:rRNA from 1 species
AGAGUUUGAUCAUGGCUCAGAUUGAACGCUGGCGGCAGGCCUAACACAUGCAAGUCGAGCGGAUGACAGGAGCUUGCUCCUGAAUUCAGCGGCGGACGGGUGAGUAAUGCCUAGGAAUCUGCCUGGUAGUGGGGGACAACGUCUCGAAAGGGACGCUAAUACCGCAUACGUCCUACGGGAGAAAGCAGGGGACCUUCGGGCCUUGCGCUAUCAGAUGAGCCUAGGUCGGAUUAGCUAGUUGGUGAGGUAAUGGCUCACCAAGGCGACGAUCCGUAACUGGUCUGAGAGGAUGAUCAGUCACACUGGAACUGAGACACGGUCCAGACUCCUACGGGAGGCAGCAGUGGGGAAUAUUGGACAAUGGGCGAAAGCCUGAUCCAGCCAUGCCGCGUGUGUGAAGAAGGUCUUCGGAUUGUAAAGCACUUUAAGUUGGGAGGAAGGGCAGUAGCUUAAUACGUUGCUGUUUUGACGUUACCGACAGAAUAAGCACCGGCUAACUCUGUGCCAGCAGCCGCGGUAAUACAGAGGGUGCAAGCGUUAAUCGGAAUUACUGGGCGUAAAGCGCGCGUAGGUGGUUUGUUAAGUUGGAUGUGAAAGCCCCGGGCUCAACCUGGGAACUGCAUUCAAAACUGACAAGCUAGAGUAUGGUAGAGGGUGGUGGAAUUUCCUGUAGCGGUGAAAUGCGUAGAUAUAGGAAGGAACACCAGUGGCGAAGGCGACCACCUGGACUGAUACUGACACUGAGGUGCGAAAGCGUGGGGAGCAAACAGGAUUAGAUACCCUAGUAGUCC